rnacentral:rRNA from 1 species
GAUGAACGCUGGCGGCGUGCUUAACACAUGCAAGUCGAGCGAGAAACUACAUGCAGACACUUCGGUAGAAGCGAGUAGCGGAAAGCGGCGGACGGGUGAGUAACGCGUAGGCAACCUGCCCUUCACAGAGGUAUAGCCUCGGGAAACCGGGAUUAAAACCACAUAAAAUCAUAGGUUCGCAUGAACCAAAGGUCAAAGAUUUAUCGGUGAAGGGUGGGCCUGCGUCUGAUUAGCUGGUUGGUAGGGUAAAAGCCUACCAAGGCGACGAUCAGUAGCCGACCUGAGAGGGUGAUCGGCCACAUUGGAACUGAGACACGGUCCAAACUCCUACGGGAGGCAGCAGUGGGGGGUAUUGCACAAUGGGGGAAACCCUGAUGCAGCAACGCCGCGUGAGGUAUGAAGGCCUUUGGGUUGUAAGCCUCUGUCCUAGGGGAAGAAAAAAAUGACGUACCCGAGGAGGAG